GGCAAUGUCUCAUCAUUCACAAUCACUAAACAUGACUUCGAGAUGGAGGUUAUCAUUCUGGAUGAAGUCUGAGGAAAAUUCAAGUUUCAGAUUUUCAGCUGAUUAUAGGAGCCAACAUUUAUGCUGCUCAGCCUCAGACUUGAUGGUGGGGCUGUAACUGAGCUAUCUGCAACAUUCGUGAACUUUGAGAAGACUGCUCCCCAUUCAAGGUUGAUGCCAACUUGGGCACAACAGAAAGAUAUUCAUGUUUGCCCUGUUACAUAAAGAGCAGGGUGUGCAAGUAAUUGCUCUUCUAUUUCUAUUCUUUUCCAAUGCUAUUGUAAUCUAUACUGUUGGACACCCAACCAAAAUCUUCCUUGCCUACAAAGUCCUGCUAUUAUUCAGAUAUAGGGAAACAACGAGUAAAGGAAAGUGCCCCCCCACACACACACACACACACUCUAGGGAAUUAAUCUGAUUGUGCUAAAGUGAGUCAUGGAAGUCUACACUUGGUCAGUGACUGGUCUACAUGUGAUCAAAUCCUAGCCAAUGAGAUGCAGAAGGAAUUCUGGUGGGGCCUUUGGGAAAGAUUUUGUCUCUUGAUGAAAGUAGGGAGAGGCAUUUAUUACACUUAACUCUUUCUUACUGCAAAUCUUUUUUUUUAUAGCACUUGUUGCACUUAUAGAACUUUUUUCAGAACAAUGAAAAAAAGUCACUGCUUAAUUCUCUUAGGAAGGGUUGAACCAAUGUUGCAAAAAAAAAAAAAAAGUAGAGCUGGGCAUGGUGGCACAGGCCUGCAGCCUCAGAAAGCUGAGGCAGGAGAAUGGCUGCAAGUUCAAGGUCAUCCUGGGCUACAUAGUGAGUUCAAGGCCAGCCUGAAUUACAAACAGAGACCCUGCCUCAAAAAAAAAAAUUAGAAAUCCUGAGGUUCUGUGGCUUUGAGCCUAGGACAUUGCCCAGAUGGGGCAGGGAUUGGAAGGUUGAGUCCCUCCCAAGGACAAAGAGCACCUGGAUGCCAGCCAUCUCUCUGCCUAGUAGCUGCUCGCUGGACCUUGGCCCAAUAAUCUGAUGUGAGAAUCUCAAUUGCUAUAUGUUCUACAGCUAUAUUACCUAUGAAGGCUCAGCUAGGCUUACAGCUUAAAUUACUUCCCUCAAAACCAACCAUUAAGUAUUCAAGGUAGUUGGCACAGCACAAGAGAAAUCCCUUUCUGUAGGUAGGGUUUUAUGGAUUACAGGGACACCUGUGGGCUAGAUCUGAAUCCCUGCACCUGUUCAAUGACUACUACAGUCAUUGAGUUAAUUAAGAAAAAAAGGCCGAUAGCAUCCACUCUGGCCAGGAAUUCACUUCAUCCUGGCCUUAGACUCUAUGGGGAGGAGGUAAAACACCCUGCUUCAAAUCUCCAAGGUCUUAAAACAAGGCAAUUUACUUGUUUUGGGUGCCUGUGACAACUUCCCAACAGUGGGACCUGCUGUUCUGUAAGUGACUAAAUAAGACAGAGGCCUUAACCACACUCUAACCAGAGUAAAAGAAAUCCUUUCAUGGGUUAAAGCCAGAAAGGGGAGCUUCCAGCCAGAAUUUGUCAGAAUGCUGUUCCCCCAAACCCAGAGAAGAAUCAGACUUUCAUUGUUCCCAUGAACAUGCUGGGUUAUUUUACAGUUUGUGCUCUGAAUCACAACACUGUCUCUUCUCCUUGCCUGUUGUGUUUCUCAACUUUUUUUUUUUAAUUUGAGCUCCCUUCAAAUCUUUCUCACACUAAAUUGUAUGUAUUCCUACCAGCCAAGAGGUAGUCAGCUUUGUAUCCUGAGACUGGUUAAUGAAAACAAUAGCUACUGGAAUAUUCUUUCUCGGAAGCAAAGACACUUCUCCAUUCUGCUGGGGCUCCUAGAAGUAGUGACACUUCCUUGACUUGAGAAUGUGAUUCUAAUCCUAAAUAAUACUAAUCCUUGUACUGUCAAUGUGUGGUGAGUCAUUUAUUUCUAAAUCAGUUAAGGCACAAACCAUGUAAAGUAGAAAUUUUAUUAGAUUUGUGUUUUCGUGACCUGGAUAAGGAAACAUGUAAAAAGGAAAAAAAUAUUCCAUUAUAUAUUGUACUUCUUAUAAUCCCCAUACCCAUUUUUAUCUCCUCAUACUUAUUUUAUUAUUAUUACUUCACUUCUACCAGUUGUCACAUAUUGGCUACAAAGCAGUCUACAUUUGCUUUUUUAUUAUACUAUCCCUUAGAUCAUUAAAACUCAUGGCUUGUUAAAAUUUCUAGGAAUGUUCCUCUAUCUGUGAAGAUUCUGUAACUUCAAUAAAAUUAAAAAAUUAUUUCCUCAGGUA